CCGGGCGCACGGGUGAGUAACGCGUAUGCAACUUACUAUCAGGAGGGGGAUAACCCGGCGAAAGUCGGACUAAUACCGCAUAAAGCAGGGAUCCCGCAUGGGAAUAUUUGCUAAAGAUUCAUCGCUGAUAGAUAGGCAUGCGUUCCAUUAGGCAGUUGGCGGGGUAACGGCCCACCAAACCGACGAUGGAUAGGGGUUCUGAGAGGAAGGUCCCCCACAUUGGUACUGAGACACGGACCAA
rnacentral:rRNA from 1 species